rnacentral:rRNA from 1 species
GACGAACGCUGGCGGCGUGCUUAACACAUGCAAGUCGAGCGGAAAGGCCCUUUCGGGGGUACUCGAGCGGCGAACGGGUGAGUAACACGUGAGUAAUCUGCCCUUCACUUGGGGAUAACCUCCGGAAACGGUGGCUAAUACCCGAUACGACCAUUCCUCGCAUGAGGUGGUGGUGGAAAGUUUUUCGGUGGGGGAUGUGCUCGCGGCCUAUCAGCCUGUUGGUGGGGUAAUGGCCUACCAAGGCUUCGACGGGUAGCCGGCCUGAGAGGGUGACCGGCCACACUGGGACUGAGACACGGCCCAGACUCCUACGGGAGGCAGCAGUGGGGAAUAUUGGACAAUGGGCGGAAGCCUGAUCCAGCAACGCCGCGUGAGGGAUGACGGCCUUCGGGUUGUAAACCUCUUUCACCUGUGACGAAGCGAAAGUGACGGUAGCAGGAGAAGAAGCACCGGCCAACUACGUG